GGGGCUAAUACCGCAUAUGGGCUGAGGCCCAAAGCCGUGAGGCGCCUUUGGAGCGGCCUGCGUCCGAUUAGCUAGUUGGUGGGGUAAAGGCCUACCAAGGCUCCGAUCGGUAGCUGGUCUGAGAGGACGAUCAGCCACACUGGGACUGAGACACGGCCCAGACUCCUACGGGAGGCAGCAGUGGGGAAUAUUGGACAAUGGGCGCAAGCCUGAUCCAGCAAUGCCGCGAGGGUGAAGAAGGUCUUCGGAUCCGAAAGCCCUUUCGACGGGGACGAUGAUGACGGCACCUGUAGAAGAAGCCCCGGCUAACCUUUAAAUUUCAGCCGCGGUAAUACGAAGGGGGCUAGCGUUGCUCGGAAUUACUGGGCGUAAAGGGCGCGUAGGCGGC
rnacentral:rRNA from 1 species